CGCGCAGGUGGUUUCUUAAGUCUGAUGUGAAAGCCCACGGCUCAACCGUGGAGGGUCAUUGGAAACUGGGAGACUUGAGUGCAGAAGAGGAUAGUGGAAUUCCAAGUGUAGCGGUGAAAUGCGUAGAGAUUUGGAGGAACACCAGUGGCGAAGGCGACUGUCUGGUCUGUAACUGACACUGAGGCACGAAAGCGUGGGGGAGCAAACA
rnacentral:rRNA from 1 species